rnacentral:misc_RNA from 1 species
GUGAAUCAUCGAAUUUUUGAACGCAAAUUGCACUCUCCUCGGAGAGUAUGCCUGUUUGAGGGUCAGCCUAUAAAAAAUCGACAUCGCUGCUGUUUCGCGGUGGCGUUCGUCUGAAAUUGGUACAUCUUAAAUCUUUUGUUUUUAAGCGACUUAAAAUUUUCUUUUUGGUUCCAUUAACGUUUCUAAGAUUUAUUUCUUUACACUUUUAAGGUAUCGAUUUUUAUUAGACGUAACCAUCAUAACGGAUCAAGCUCAUAAUCUUUCAUUAACUGACCUG